UCCAGUAUGUGCAUUCUCUGUUUCAAUAUUACAUAUACGAUAUUUUAGCUUUUGUGUUGACAUGAUGCUCUUUGCUACUAACAAAGCAUACACCCAUGAUAAUCGGGGAUGUACUUUCAAACGACGAAGGACACAUGCUGACACAGGGUCCUACAACCCUUUAAUAUCAAAUGCAGCUGACAACCGUGCUAAAAGAAUGAAAAUUUUAAAACAGAAACGGAAUCCUAAGACAGGUAUAAUAUAAUUAAGCUUAGUACUACUAAUACUCACUUCAAAUUUCAUUGAACUACAAAUUACUAACAUAUGGACCAUUUUUUAUCCCUGUAACUUUUACACUUACAAAUCCAUUCAUCGAUGGCCACCAUAUUUAUAUGUCACAUGAUACUAGACGUCUUAUCUGAAGCCAAGCCAUCUCGACAAUGCGGAUAUUUCACAUAGGAGUAUAUAGAUACACUAAAAGGUACUAUGAUGCAGACCUGCAUUUACUAUUUACCUAAUGUACCAUUAAAUUUGGUAAUCUCAAAAUAUUUAGUUCACGAUUAUAACCUCUUACUCUCUAAUUCUAUUUCCUCGUAAAUUAAUAAACCAUUUUUUUACAAAACAACUUUACUUCUCAUUUGAAAAAUACUUACUCACAAUGCAUAUGCAAAUACAGCUUCAUAUCCUGAAAGGUCUUUCUUGGGAUCCCCUGAUUAUGUGUGUAAACACUGUGAAGCUGUAUUCUGGUAUCAAGAACGCAUUAAAUCAGAUUCUUGUUACCGACAAAACAAAAUCACCUAUAAUUCUUGCUGCAAGGGAGGGGAGAUCAAAAUACCACCACAUCGCCCACGUCCUGAACCUUUGGCGUCACUGGCAAAAUAUGAUGGUGGUCCUAUGAGCAAUAAAUUCAUGCGUAAUAUUCGGCAAUACAACUGCUUAUUUGCUUUUACAUCAAUGGGAGCAAAUAUAGAUAGAACUAUCAACGACGGCCGUGGCCCUCCAAUAUUCAAGAUCCAUGGUCAGGUUCAUCAUCGAAUUGGCUCAUUAUUACCAUAUGAUGGAUCUCCACCGAAAUUCAUUCAGCUGUACAUAUAUGACACUUCUAAUGAAGUGCAAAAUUGAAUACGGGCUUUGCAUCCAUCUGAUCAGGGAGAUGAUCCUAUAGAUCCUUCUAUAGUUGAAAAGUUAAUUAAGAUGCUUGAUGAGCAUAAUCCAUUUGCUAAAAAAUUUAGAGCUGCACGGGACAGAUUACAAGGUUAUGAAAAUGAAGAAUUUGUUAUCAGAAUAGUGGGUGCCUCUGAAGGUGAUCCUGUGCAGUACAAUCUACCAACCACAGAUGAGCUGGCAAUGCUUGUAGUUGGUGAUUUCUCUCUUGAAACUUUUAAACGUGAUAUAAUAAUUGAGUCCAAAUCUGUUCAUUUGCACCAAAUUUCAAGUCUGCAUCCAGCAUAUAUGGCUCUUCAAUAUCCACUUUUAUUUCCCUUUGGUGAAAGAGGUUUUCAAGUUGGAGUUAUCUACAGUGGCACCGAGUCCAACAAACGCAAAAGGCGGUCCACAAUGACGAUGCAAGAUUAUUAUAGACAUCAAUUCCAUUAUAGAAAAGGCCAGCCUAAUCCUUACUUAUGUUAUGGUCUUCUUUCUAGUCAGGCUAAAGUUGACGCUAGAGCUGCAAUUGAUGAAAACAGACUCUGGUACAUUUUAAAAAACCAAGAUAAAUUCAGAAUAGAAAAUUUCCAAGGAAUAGCAGAUGCAGUGGGCCGUGGCUGUAAUAUUUUUUCUAUCAGGAUGAAGAAGAGUCACCAUCUGAGACAGCAACACUUAACAGGGAGAAUGUUGAUGAAAAAAGUUCUGAUCUACAAAGCUCUUCACAUCCAAAAGCAAUGUCGCCACUAGAGAAGCCCAGCACAACCAAGCUUCCAAAAACUCCCAAAAAAUAACAAUGUCAAGACAAGGAAAGACUGAGAAGCUGAUGAGCAACCAUCUGCAAGUGUUGCGCCAUUGCCUGAGCUUUGAUCAACUCGGCAAAAAAGAAUGAUCAGACCAAAAUUAUAUCUACUUCUCCAUUGCACUACUGCUAUAAACUACACUUUAUGUUAUGUACCUACGUAUUUCUAGAACUUAAGACAUUCUACUCGGUCUGCUUAUACCAGCUGACCAACUACCUAUUAUAUUGAUAACCUUAUUUAAACCAUCUAUUAUUGAAGAGUUAAACCUUAUUGAUAACUUUAUUUAAACAAUCUAUUAUAUUGAUCAUCUAUGCACA